AUACAAAGCUGCCAGCAAACCUAACACAAGCAAGUCGAGCGAGUGGCGGACGGGUGAGUAAUGUCUGGGAAACUGCCUGAUGGAGGGGGAUAACUACUGGAAACGGUAGCUAAUACCGCAUACCAUCGGAUGUGCCCAGAUGGGAUUAGCUAGUAGUUGGGGUAAAGGCUCACCUAGGCGACGAUCCCUAGCUGGUCUGAGAGGAUGACCGGCCAAACGGGAACGGGGACACGGUCCAGACUCCUAUGGGAGGAAGCAGUGGGGAAUAUUGCACAAUGGGCGCAAGCCUGAUGCAGCCAUGCCGCGGGUAUGAAGAAGGCCUUCGGGUUGUAAAGUACUUUCAGCGGGGAGGCGUUACCCGCAGAAGAAGCACCGGCUAACUCCGUGCCAGCAGCCGCGGUAAUAC
rnacentral:rRNA from 1 species